UACGUAGGGUGCGAGCGUUGUCCGGAACUAUUGGGCGUAAAGGGCUCGUAGGCGGUCUGUUGCGUCAGGAGUGAAAACUCGGGGCUUAACCCCGAGCCUGCUUCUGAUACGGGCAGACUAGAGGUAUGCAGGGGAGAACGGAAUUCCUGGUGUAGCGGUGAAAUGCGCAGAUAUCAGGAGGAACACCGGUGGCGAAGGCGGUCUCUG
rnacentral:rRNA from 1 species